GUUUCCGUAUUGUAGUGGUUAUCACGUUCGCCUCACACGCGAAAGGUCCCCAGUUCGAAACUGGGCGGAAACA
rnacentral:tRNA from 2 species